rnacentral:rRNA from 1 species
UUCUGCAAGGUGCUGCAUGGUUGUCGUCAGCUCGUGCCGUGAGGUGUCGGGUUAAGUCCCAUAACGAGCGCAACCCUUAUCGUUAGUUGCCAUCUGGUAAUGCAGGGGACUCUAGCGAAACUGCCACCGUAAGGUGAGAGGAAGGUGGGGAUGACGUCAAAUCAGCACGGCCCUUAUGUCCAGGGCUACACACGUGUUACAAUGGUCGGUACAGAGGGCAGCUGCCUGGUGACAGGAUGCUAAUCUCGAAAACCGGUCUCAGUUCGGAUCGAAGUCUGCAACUCGACUUCGUGAAGCUGGAUUCGCUAGUAAUCGCGCAUCAGCUAUGGCGCGGUGAAUACGUUCCCGGGCCUU